rnacentral:rRNA from 1 species
GAUGAACGCUGGCGGCGUGCCUAAUACAUGCAAGUCGAGCGAACAGACGAGGAGCUUGCUCCUCUGACGUUAGCGGCGGACGGGUGAGUAACACGUGGAUAACCUACCUAUAAGACUGGGAUAACUUCGGGAAACCGGAGCUAAUACCGGAUAAUAUAUUGAACCGCAUGGUUCAAUAGUGAAAGACGGUUUUGCUGUCACUUAUAGAUGGAUCCGCGCCGCAUUAGCUAGUUGGUAAGGUAACGGCUUACCAAGGCAACGAUGCGUAGCCGACCUGAGAGGGUGCUCGGCCACACUGGAACUGAGACACGGUCCAGACUCCUACGGGAGGCAGCAGUAGGGAAUCUUCAGCAAUGGGCGAAAGCUUGACGGAGCAACGCCGCGUGAGUGAUGAAGGUCUUCGGAUCGUAAAACUCUGUUAGUAGGGAAGAACAAAUGUGUAAGUAACUAUGCACGUCUUGACGGUACCUAAUCAGAAAGCCACGGCUAACUACGUG